CAGCUGGUUCCACAAGCAUCAAAUCUCACAGAACCUGACAGUGCCAUUCAUCAGGCAUGGUGUCAGAUUCCUCGCAUCACCUUUCAACAUCUCAAGGAGUCAAUGCCAAGAAGAAUCGCACAGUAUGGAAGGCAAAAGGUGGCUCAACAAAGUACUGAUGGGGUGCUCAUAAUAAUCUGGCCACUCAGUGUAUUGAUUUUAAGAGAACAAGGGAG